AGAGUUUGAUCAUGGCUCAGGACGAACGCUGGCGGCGUGCCUAAUACAUGCAAGUCGAGCGGACAGAUGGGAGCUUGCUCCCUGAUGUUAGCGGCGGACGGGUGAGUAACACGUGGGUAACCUGCCUGUAAGACUGGGAUAACUCCGGGAAACCGGGGCUAAUACCGGAUGGUUGUCUGAACCGCAUGGUUCAGACAUAAAAGGUGGCUUCGGCUACCACUUACAGAUGGACCCGCGGCGCAUUAGCUAGUUGGUGAGGUAACGGCUCACCAAGGCGACGAUGCGUAGCCGACCUGAGAGGGUGAUCGGCCACACUGGGACUGAGACACGGCCCAGACUCCUACGGGAGGCAGCAGUAGGGAAUCUUCCGCAAUGGACGAAAGUCUGACGGAGCAACGCCGCGUGAGUGAUGAAGGUUUUCGGAUCGUAAAGCUCUGUUGUUAGGGAAGAACAAGUGCCGUUCAAAUAGGGCGGCACCUUGACGGUACCUAACCAGAAAGCCACGGCUAACUACGUGCCAGCAGCCGCGGUAAUACGUAGGUGGCAAGCGUUGUCCGGAAUUAUUGGGCGUAAAGGGCUCGCAGGCGGUUUCUUAAGUCUGAUGUGAAAGCCCCCGGCUCAACCGGGGAGGGUCAUUGGAAACUGGGGAACUUGAGUGCAGAAGAGGAGAGUGGAAUUCCACGUGUAGCGGUGAAAUGCGUAGAGAUGUGGAGGAACACCAGUGGCGAAGGCGACUCUCUGGUCUGUAACUGACGCUGAGGAGCGAAAGCGUGGGGAGCGAACAGGAUUAGAUACCCUGGU
rnacentral:rRNA from 1 species